UGGGGAAUAUUGGACAAUGGGGGCAACCCUGAUCCAGCAAUGCCGCGUGUGUGAAGAAGGCCUUCGGGUUGUAAAGCACUUUAGGUUGGGAAGAAGGUAGCAGGUUUAAGAGACGUGUUAUUUGACGGUACCGACAGAAUAAGCACCGGCUAACUCUGUGCCAGCAGCCGCGGUAAUACAGAGGGUGCGAGCGUUAAUCGGAAUUACUGGGCGUAAAGGGCGCGUAGGUGGUAUGGUAAGAUUCAUGUGAAAUCCCUGGGCUUAACCUAGGAAUGGCAUGGAUGACUGCGAUACUAGAGUACUGUAGAGGGUAGUGGAAUUUCCGGUGUAGCGGUGAAAUGCGUAGAGAUCGGAAGGAACAUCAGUGGCGAAGGCGGCUACCUGGACAGAUACUGACACU
rnacentral:rRNA from 1 species